ACUCCUACGGGAGGCAGCAGUAGGGGAAUCUUCCACAAUGGGCGCAAGCCUGAUGGAGCAACACCGCGUGAGUGAAGAAGGGUUUCGGCUCGUAAAGCUCUGUUGUUAAAGAAGAACACGUAUGAGAGUAACUGUUCAUACGUUGACGGUAUUUAACCAGAAAGUCACGGCUAACUACGUGCCAGCAGCCGCGGUAAUACGUAGGUGGCAAGCGUUAUCCGGAUUUAUUGGGCGUAAAGAGAGUGCAGGCGGUUUUCUAAGUCUGAUGUGAAAGCCUUCGGCUUAACCGGAGAAGUGCAUCGGAAACUGGAUAACUUGAGUGCAGAAGAGGGUAGUGGAACUCCAUGUGUAGCGGUGGAAUGCGUAGAUAUAUGGAAGAACACCAGUGGCGAAGGCGGCUACCUGGUCUGCAACUGACGCUGAGACUCGAAAGCAUGGGUAGCGAACA
rnacentral:rRNA from 1 species